rnacentral:rRNA from 1 species
GAUGAACGCUGGCGGCGUGCCUAAUACAUGCAAGUCGAGCGAACGGACGAGAAGCUUGCUUCUCUGAUGUUAGCGGCGGACGGGUGAGUAACACGUGGAUAACCUACCUAUAAGACUGGGAUAACUUCGGGAAACCGGAGCUAAUACCGGAUGAUAUUUUGAACCGCAUGGUUCAAAAGUGAAAGACGGUCUUGCUGUCACUUAUAGAUGGAUCCGCGCUGCAUUAGCUAGUUGGUAAGGUAACGGCUUACCAAGGCAACGAUGCAUAGCCGACCUGAGAGGGUGAUCGGCCACACGGGAACUGAGACACGGUCCAGGCUCCUACGGGAGGCAGCAGUAGGGAAUCUUCCGCAAUGGGCGAAAGCCUGACGGAGCAACGCCGCGUGAGUGAUGAAGGUCUUCGGAUCGUAAAACUCUGUUAUUAGGGAAGAACAUAUGUGUAAGUAACUGUGCACAUCUUGACGGUACCUAAUCAGAAAGCCACGGCUAACUCCGUG